UAAGGGUCUGCUAUACAUAAGACCCAAAGCUUGGAGCCUCUUUCUCCCUCUCUCUCAUAUCCUCUCAUUAUCUCCCCUCUUCCAACGCCUUGAUCCACAGCUCCUCACUUUGUAGUAAACAAGGUAAACCGUGCCUCCCUACUGCCAUCUUCGUCUUAUUUGAUUAACCCAGGCUGAAGAAAACUGCUGCUCGUAGAAUUCGGUUAGAGCAUAUCACCCGAAUUUUCCUCAUUCUUAUAGCAUAUAGGAUUAGGACAAUUUUUGAAGGUAUCUCCCUAUGUUUUAAUGACGCUGGCAUACUUACUCCCAUAUCUUUGUUUUUGGUCUUAGAUGAUGAUAAUAGUUGGAUUCGGUUUUUCCAACUAUAUAUAUAAUAAAUUUAUAGUUAGAUACAUUGAUGAUAUUAACUAGACUUGUGAAUCUGGCUAAAAAAGGGUGCCUUUGCAAAUUUUUUUACCAAAACAUUUUAAAAUUAUUAAAUUGUCUUGCCAAAUAAAAUAAAUAGUUGGGUGUCAGCAGGUAGCUCUCAAACUAUGAUAUGGUCUUAAAAUUUAGAAUCACAAUGUAAUCAAAGUGGGCGUUUGGUCUAGUGGUAUGAUUCUCGCUUUGGGUGCGAGAGGUCCCGAGUUCGAUUCUCGGAACGCCCCUUUCCAGACUCUUUCGAAUUUUUGUUUGUUACGAGACUUUUUCUUGUCUUAUUUGUUUUGCUCGUCCUCAUUUUCUUUUUGUCUUCAUAUUAUUAUUAGUAUAAUUAUUUACUAUGAGCAGACAAAUGGACAAAAUAAAAAAGCAGUCAAAAAAAUUGAAUCACUGGACUGCCUGCUGAUAUAUAUAGUAAGUUGUUUUUGAGUGCUAAAACAAAACCCCGUCACAAUCGAUUCUCAUAUUUCAUCUGGAGAUUAAAAGUUGUUUAUAUACAAAAUUUAUUUUGAAUUUGAGUUUUUAAGAAAGCAAAUAAUAAACUUUAUUUGAGUAGUUUUAUUUACAUGCAGUUUGCGCAUGUGUGUGAUAGAAAUACGUUGCUAUUAUAUAUGUGUUAUAUACAUAUAUAAACAUGAUACCACUCUUAAUACUUUUUUCAGCUCACAAUACCACGUCGAACCAGCAAGCCAGAGUUGUCACUAAAAAGUAUCCCACCCUCGACUCUGUUAUUCUACUGUGAUGUUAUUUUGAUGCAUAAAAUUUAUAUACCUACAAUGCAUCAAAUAUUUUUCUAUUUUCUUUUCGAAAACUGCCAAAUACAUUAAUUGUUUUUAUGCCUGUGAAAAAUCCGAUUGAUUCCAAGUUUAUCAUAAAAAUUUUGAAAAUAACCGAUUCAACUCCCAAGCUGAAACUUGAACAAGUCAGUGGUAAUGACCUAAAAUGACCCAAAUUGAGUCUCUAAAACUUUGACUGAAGCCUAAAGGCAAAAUGCAAAUAUUGGUCUCUAAAACUUUGACUGAAGCCUAAAGGCAAAAUGCAAAUAUUGGUCCUAUAAAUGAUCUUUCAUCCAAAUACAUUAGUUUCUUUUAACUACAAUGUCAGUUUCAUGUCUGCCUAUGGAUAAAACUUGAAACCAAAUAAAUAAUCAAUGACAUGAAAUCCUAGAAAGUUGGAGCUCAUUCCAAACACAGAUGGUUCAUAAAAAAAUAUAUAUUUACAAACAUUGAUGCCCUAUUACGUUCAUUUUUAACCAAAGGAAUUACAAAUAAAUAAAUGAACUCCAAAAAGAAUUUUUUUUUCUUUUUUUAAACUGUUGACUAUUUACUCGUUCAGGAUAAUCUUUACAUAAAGAGAGUACCGGUACAACUGCUUCCGCUUCUCGGUUUUUGUUAUUGGUUUCCUUGGAUAGUUUGUAACGGUGCAGCAGCUUGAAUCCGUGGAGUCGUUGACAACCGACUUGAGGAGAAUGAAACCAAAAGUUUAAUAACAAAGCAUCUCUCCGGAGUUCACCCACUGCACAAAACUAUCUGAGAAUUCCUCAAGAACGUUGGACUGUUGUGAAUUACCGAAAGAUAGCUCAGUUCCGGUUUGCUGCCUUCCCUGCAUAAUAUGUAACGAAGGGUUAGCCAUUUAUAUUUUGCAUAGAAUAAACUCAGAGCUCGACUUUCUAGUUUUCAAAGAGAUACAUGUCUUGAGUAAACUAUUUUCCAAUAAAAUUCAAUGUCUUGACGUGUUUUUCGUUUCUUUUUGACUGUUGAGUGAUUUCUAGUUAGUAAUCAUCUAUGUUACAAAUGGUAAACAGAAAUCGAGAACUUUCUACCAACAGUAAGAAUACUGACCUUCAUACUUGAUCCACAUUCGCUACUGGAUGGAGUUGCUUCCCCCACUACACCAUUAACAACAUUCUCCAACGAAAGACCAGCGAUCGAAGAG
rnacentral:lncRNA from 1 species